CUGAAGAACAACCUGCUACGCUUUCUUUCUAGAUCAGGGAAGAUACCUCUACUGACAAAAUUUUUAAGAGGCAAAGAAAAUAGAUAUGAGUUUUGAUUGUAGCAUGGAUUAUAUUUAUUAAGUGUUUCAAGUAUGCUAGCAAAUUUCUAAUGAACAAAUGUGAUUUUCAAAUAAAUUACCAAACAAUAGUCUGAGUGGCUUCCCAUCUUCUACAGAUACCUACUUGUUCCUAAAGGACUUCUGAGUCAUGAGCCAUCCCUGGAAAUGUCCUUCCUUACGGUUUUCUUUGCACAACAGAGCUGCUCCUGAAACCUUGUGCUUAGAACUGUGGAUGAAAUCCUGUGGGGGUCACGGGAACUGGGGAAGUUAGGUCACUGGAGGAAUCCAUCAGGACUCCCCUCCUGCCCCUGUUCACACCUCCCACGUGGGGUGUGAAUCUGGCCUCUGAAGCACCAACUUGCUCACAAAAAAAGCUCAUUUGGGCUAAGAAAAUGGAAAUUAAAGAGGUGGAUUGGUUGGCCUUCAAGACAGACUGUAGGACCACCCGGCCUUCAACCCACAGGAAGGCCCAGUCCCUUCGUGAAAGUUUCCAAAACAUCUUCAUUCUUCUACUUGGAAACUGCCACACCUGAAUUAAGUGUCCCUUAGGUCACAGGAUGCUGCAAGUGGCAAGUACCUCACACCAUGCAAGUCCAGUCCCUCUCCUCCUUCCCCCCGAUUCUACAGAUGAGAAAACAGAGCUUCAGAGAGAGCAAGCUUCAGUCCAGACUCAAGGAAGUGGACCCAACAGCCCACCCGCCUCCAUUACCCAACCUCUGAAUGUCUCAGGAGGUGGCAGCACUGCUGGCCAUUCCCAAGAGGAAGCCCAUUGUGGGUUUCUCUUUUUUCUCCUCUGCAUCAAGUUCAUGAGGGACACACGUGAUGGGAAGAGGGACAUGAGGCAAUGCAAGGCCACCUUGGGAAAGGAGCAUGUCACUCAGCCUCUGCAAUGGCUGUACAACAGACCAUCAGCAGGGUCCUGUGUCCCAGCAGGGAGACUGAGCAAAUUGUCUGCCUGCCUGUUAAUAGGUACCCAGCACACCUCAGAAAUCCUGGGACAAGGGACAGAUUAUCUUAGCUCUCUUUGUGUGGCAACAAUUGUGGCCAGGGCUGCAGAGGAGCCGGGCAGCUUCCUGCUCCCACUGCCAAGGCAGAUUGCUCAAGCACACGCGUCAUCCUCAGCCCACACACUGCCUUGUUAUUGCGAGCUGCAAAGGUCUUCCUCCUGCUGGCCCAUCUCCCUUUCUUUAGGAGCUGGUCUCUAGAACCAGAGAAGCAAAUUUCUUCCUCUUCCUUUUGCCUGGCUUUCUUCCAGGGCCUCCUUCCUCACCCUCUCUCCACAUUAAUCCCUGUCUGACUGCCUCGACUCAGAAUUCAGACCUGGUACUGCAGAGCACCUUGGGCACCUUGCCCUGGCCUGGCUGCCAGGCCUGAGGCCUGCCUGCUCCACUGGCACCUGUCUUCACCCUAAUUACUUUCCUGUUGACAUGCACUGGAGCCAGUGUCUCCCCACACCCGCCCCGGCACUCCUUCACAGCUUCCUAUGCCAGUCCCACUCUGUUUUUCUUUGCCUCCAGGAUGUGUCCAGAACAUAGCAGUCACCUGUCACCACGAGCUUGUGAAAUAACACCUAAAGCUUCAGGGUGCACCUUUAGAUGCUCUCUGUUAGGGCAUUUGGCUAGGGCUUGUUGGCCACAACUGUCCAUCACAGAACAUGUACAUAGUAUCUGAUGAUCUUUGGACAAGAAGGGACUCGCUGAGAAGCCAGCUGAUACACCCUUCAGUCUUCUAGUUAACAUAUCGAACCACCCCAGACGAUAAAACUUACUUGUUUUGAGACAUUAAAAAAUGAGGUUCCCUGUCUGACUUACUUCACUUAGCACAAUGUCUAUCAUCCGUGGGGUGGAAAUGCUAGGAUCUCCUCUUUUUAAAGAUUGAAUAAUAUUCCAGUGUAUACACAUAGCACAUUUCCUUUAUCCACUUUCCCACCAGUGGAUACCAAUGUUAUUUGAAUAUCUUGGCUACUGUGAAUAAGACUUCAAUAAACAAAGGAGUGCAGAUAUCUUCACGAGGUGGUAAUUUCUUCUCCUUUGGGUGUAGAGCAGAAGAGGGAUUGCUGGAUUGUAUAAUGGUUCUAUUUUUGAUUUCUUUAGGAACCACCUUCUGUUUACCCUAAUGGCUGCACCAACCUACUUACAUUCCUGAGUGAGACAGAGCUCCCCUUCUCCAUGUCUGGCUAAUAUUUAUUACCUCCUUUUUGAUAAGCCAGAUAUAGAAUGAAAAAAAAAACUGCAUUGUUUCACAUAUAUGUGAAAUGGAAAAGAAAAAAAGGAGAUCAGAUACUCAGAGAUGAGUGUCAAACAGUGGGUACCACCAGCAGCAGGGAGGAGAGAAAACGGGAGAUGUGGGUCAAAGGAUACAAAAGUGCAGACACAUAGGAGGAAAGUCUAGAGCUCAAUCACAACACAGGAGUAAGGCUAAUGCAUUGUGUUGAAUUAGGGAGUUUUGCUAAAUAAGUUAAUUUCAGCUAUUCUUGUCAUGAAAAAGUAACUGUGAGAUGCUGGGGAUGUUCACCUGCUUCACCAUAGGAACCCUUUUGCUUUCUAUAUGGAUCCCAUAAUGUCAUGUCACUAAUCUCAAAUAUGCACAAUAAAAUUUAUUUAAAGAAGAGAAAGAUACAUAGGGUUCCACAACUUUUGCUCACCCUUUUUCAUGGGAAACAAAGUACAAAACUGAUGAGGAUAAAAGUUGUUACACAGUCCCCAAAAUGAGGAAGGGAUGAGCCUUUGUCUCCCACUGCCAAGGCAAGAGCCAUGGGGCGAUGCUCCUCUGUCUUCCUCUGAGACCUGCAGGAGCAGGAGACCAGGUGCAGGCUGCCCUGCCUCCGGCCAGCUCUCCCCUGACGGAGCAGGUGGGCACCGUGGUCCUGAACAACCACACCUGGGGAACCAGGAGACUUGGUAGACAGCAGAUAUGAAAUCCUGCCUGUCAUCC
rnacentral:lncRNA from 1 species